rnacentral:rRNA from 1 species
CCAACAGGGAUUGCCUCAGUAACGGCGAGUGAAGCGGCAAUAGCUCAAAUUUGAAAGCUGGCUCACGCCCGCGUUGUAAUUUGUAGAGGAUGCUUCGGGUGCGGUGCCGGUCUAAGUUCUUUGGAACAAGACGUCAUAGAGGGUGAGAAUCCCGUAUGUGACUGGUUGCCUGCGCCUAUGUGAAGCUCCUUCGACGAGUCGAGUUGUUUGGGAAUGCAGCUCUAAAUGGGUGGUGUACUUCAUCUAAAGCUAAAUAUUGGCUGGAGACCGAUAGCGCACAAGUAGAGUGAUCGAAAGAUGAAAAGCACUUUGGAAAGAGAGUUAAACAGUACGUGAAAUUGUUGAAAGGGAAGCGCUUGCAAUCAGACUUGCGCUGCGUCGAUCAACCUGGGUUUUCCCUGGUGCACUCGGCGCAGCUCAGGCCAGCAUCAAUUUUGGCGGCUGGAUAAAGGCCUGGAGAACGUGGGUUGCUUCGGCGAUCGUUAUAGCUUCAGGUGCAAUGCAGCCAGCUGGGAUUGAGGACCGCGCUUCGGCUAGGAUGCUGGCGUAAUGGUUGUAAGCGACCCGUCUUGAAACACGGACCAAGGAGUCUAACAUUUUUGCGAGUGUUUGGGUGUUAAACCCAUACGCGUAAUGAAAGUGAACGGAGGUGAGAACCCUUAAGGGUGCAUCAUCGACCGAUCCUGAUGUCUUCGGAUGGAUUUGAGUAAGAGCAAAACUGUUGGGACCCGAAAGAUGGUGAACUAUGCCUGAAUAGGGUGAAGCCAGAGGAAACUCUGGUGGAGGCUCGCAGCGGUUCUGACGUGCAAAUCGAUCGUCAAAUUUGGGUAUAGGGGCGAAAGACUAAUCGAACCAUUGAUACCGCUAUUAGGUGGUUGAGAGGCCCGACUGGCCUAGUCGCUUCGGCGGCUAUACUGCAAAAUUGCGGGGACGGCUCGUUAGAUUCAGGCUACCACAGCGUGUUCGAAAGGACCCGCCACGGUAACAAGGCCUGGCAUCUGAGCUCAUCCGCAACCUCAGCCUACGGCUCACUUACCUGGGGAUCACGUUCGCCUUACCCGGCAGUGACCUUCCCGGGGGUUGGCUACGGCUGCGGCUCAUCGACUAGAUGGCAGUGGGUGCCCACAGCGCCUAAGGGAUAGUCAGUCCACCGCUGGCAAGCCGUGGAGCUACG